rnacentral:lncRNA from 10 species
CUCUUAACCUGGACAUGCUGUUUGUGCUGGAGUCAGGGUUUUGAGACUGUAACCUCUCCUUUCAUGUUUUGAAACUGUUCUCUUUUUCUGUGGAUAUUUUUUCAUUCACUAGAAAUGUGUUUUUUUACAUUCCUCAGACCUGAAGAAUGAACUCUGCCAGAUAUUUGGUGCUCCUAGUAGAAUGGUCUUCACACUUCAGUACCCAUGGGACUUACCUGAAGAAAUUGUUCAAAUACAAAAUUUUGGGUCACUGCCAGAGAUCAUGAUCCAUUUGCUUUGGGGAGACACUCAAGACAUUUCCUUUUAACAAGCUUUCAGGACAUUCUGAUGCAGAUGGCCCUUUGGAUGCACUUUGAGAAGCAAUUUUAUAGCAUCUCAGGCAUAGGAUGAAGACUCAAACAGAUUUACAAACAUGGAACAGACUUGUCUUAUUGUUCAGAAAACUUUGAACAAAUAGUGAUAUGUAUUUUAACAUUGAUGAUAAAUAAUAGCGGUAAUAAUAGCUACUAUAUGCCAGGCAUUAUUCUAGAUUAUACUCAUAUAUUAUUUCAAUGAAUCCUUAGAGUUAACAGUCUUACUCUCAUUUUACAGUGAAAGAGACUAAGGUGCAUAAAGAUUAAGUAACAUGUCCAAGCGCAGGAGCCCAGGCCUCGCUUACUCUCAAUAGUCUCUAACCCUUGUCUCCUGUCCUAUAUGCUCUAACCAGGACAGUACAGUACUGGACAUUGCUAUAUAAGACAAUAUAUGGUAAGUGUUGAGAAUAACACCUACAAGUUGGUUUAGUGGGUAUGAUGGAGAAGGAACUUACAUUUAUUGAGUGCUUACUGCAUGAUAGGAUGCAUGUAUUUUUAAACACCCAGUGAGGUAUAAAUUAUCAUCCCAUUUACCUUCAGUUUCCUCAUAUGUAAAGAGGGGAUAAUAAAAU